GCUAUACAUGCAGUCGAGCGAGCUGAUUCAAGAUCCCUUCGGGAUGAUUUGUUGGACGCUAGCGGCGGAUGGGUGAGUAACACGUGGGCAAUCUGCCCUAAAGACUGGGAUACCACUUGGAAACAGGUGCUAAUACCGGAUAACAACAUGAAUCGCAUGAUUCAAGUUUGAAAGGCGGCGCAAGCUGUCACUUUAGGAUGAGCCCGCGGCGCAUUAGCUAGUUGGUGGGGUAAAGGCCUACCAAGGCAAUGAUGCGUAGCCGAGUUGAGAGACUGAUCGGCCACAUUGGGACUGAGACACGGCCCAAACUCCUACGGGAGGCAGCAGUAGGGAAUCUUCCACAAUGGACGCAAGUCUGAUGGAGCAACGCCGCGUGAGUGAAGAAGGUCUUCGGAUCGUAAAGCUCUGUUGUUGGUGAAGAAGGAUAGAGGCAGUAACUGGUCUUUAUUUGACGGUAAUCAACCAGAAAGUCACGGCUAACUACGUGCCAGCAGCCGCGGUAAUACGUACGUGGCAAGCGUUGUCCGGAUUUAUUGGGCGUAAAGCGAGCGCAGGCGGAAUGAUAAGUCUGAUGUGAAAGCCCACGGCUCAACCGUGGAACUGCAUCGGAAACUGUCAUUCUUGAGUGCAGAAGAGGAGAGUGGAACUCCAUGUGUAGCGGUGGAAUGCGUACAUAUAUGGAAGAACACCAGUGGCGAAGGCGGCUCUCUGGUCUGCAACUGACGCUGAGGCUCGAAAGCAUGGGUAGCGAACAGGAUUAGAUACCCUGGCUAGUCCAUGCCGUACACGAUGAACGCUAGGUGUUGGGGGACUUUCCUGGUCCUCAGUGCCGCAGCAAACGCAUUUAAGCGCUCCGUCCUG
rnacentral:rRNA from 1 species